rnacentral:rRNA from 1 species
UUUUUUUUUUUUUAUAUUGGCUCGCUGGUGAACAGCGGAGGGGAUCAUUACCGCAGUUUUACGUUAACUCCCAAACCCAAUGGUGAACGAUUACCCAACUGAUUGCCUCGGCGGGAUCUCUGCCCCGGGUGCGUCGCAGCCCCGGACCAAGGCGCCCGCCGGAGGACCAGCCUAAACUCUUAUUGUAUACCCCCUCGCGGGUUUUUUUAUAAUCUGAGCCUUCUCGGCGCCUCUCGUAGGCGUUUCGAAAAUGAAUCAAAACUUUCAACAACCGGAUCUCUUGGUUCUGGCAUCGAUGAAGAACGCCAGCGAAAUGCGAUAAGUAAUGUGAAUUGCAGAAUUCCAGUGAAUUCAUCGAAUCUUUGAACGCACAUUGCGCCCGCCAGUAUUCUGGCGGGCAUGCCUGUCCGAGCGUCAUUUCAACCCUCGAACCCCUCCGGGGGGUCGGCGUUGGGGAUCGGCCCUCCCUUAGCGGGUGGCCGUCUCCGAAAUACAGUGGCGGUCUCGCCGGCAGCCUUUUCCUGCGCAGUAGUUUGCACACUCGCAUCGGGAGCGCGGGGCGUCCACAGCCGUUAAACACCCAACUUCUGAAAUGUUGACCUCGGAUCAGGUAGGAAUACCCGCUGAACUUAAGCAUAUCAAUAAGCGGAGGAAAAGAAACCAACAGGGAUUGCCCCAGUAACGGCGAGUGAAGCGGGCAACAGCUCAAAUUUGAAAUCUGGCCCCUAGGGUCCGAGUUGUAAUUUGUAGAGGAUGCUUUUGGUGAGGUGCCGCCCGAGUUCCCUGGAACGGGACGCCACAGAGGGUGAGAGCCCCGUCUGGCUGGCCGCCGAGCCUCUGUAAAGCUCCUUCGACGAGUCGAGUAGUUUGGGAAUGCUGCUCAAAAUGGGAGGUAUAUGUCUUCUAAAGCUAAAAUAUUGGGCCAGAGACCGAUAGCCGCACAAGUAGAGUGAUCGAAAGAUGAAAAGCACCUUGAAAAGAGGGUUAAAUAGUACGUGAAAUUGUUGAAAGGGAAGCGCUUGUGACCAGACUUGGGCGCGGCGGAUCAUCCGGGGUUCUCUCCGGUGCACUUCGCCGCGUCUAGGCCAGCAUCAGUUCGUCGCGGGGGAAAAAGGCUUCGGGAACGUGGCUCCUCCGGGAGUGUUAUAGCCCGUGCAUAAUACCCUGCGGUGACUAGGACCGCGCUCGCAAGGAUGCGGAUAAUGUUACCAAUUUAAAAAAAAAAA